CUGAAAUUGUUCCACAAUGCACAGAGUAGCCCCACUCUGUAGAACUGCAAGCCCAGCAUAUCCUGACAAGCAGCUGGCUCCUCCAGGACUCACUUCUGGGACACUGGAUUAUAGGGUGACAGUCCCCAAGGCUCUGGGGACAGGACUCUGUCUAAUUGCAGGGCCAGUGUCCCUCACAAGGACCGCAGCUUCUCACCUGGAAACAAAAGACUCAGCCCAUGACCCAUGACUUGCUCUGUAGCUGGCAGAGCCAUCUGAAGACCAGGGUGACGGCCCGUUCUACCCUGUCUCAGUAGUUAGGUGGGGAGGUCAGAGGACACACGUUGGAUUAGGGUAAGCCCCCUAUGUCAGGAUUCUACCCAGAGAGCUAUUUUCCAGGAAAGCAAAAAGCAAUAAGCAAAUGAAAUUUGACACCGGCAGGAGCUGCCUACUCCAAAGACAUCCUCUUGAAGGAAGAGCCUGAGAAAGGACCUGCCCAGCAGGACCUGACUCCUUGACCUAAUCAAGGGAGUACUUUCUAGUUAGUACUCCUGCCCUGAGGUCUCCCAGGCCAGGAACUCCUGCACCAUCCAUCUCUCCUGGAGUGACAGGAUCUGUGGCAGUCAGGAGGAGUGUGAAAAUAAUGGUGAAUGACCUUCCUGUGUCUGAGAAAAAGCCGUUCAUUCACAGGACAAGAGCCUCACGUGCCCUGUUGGCGACUGAAUUCCCUGGGCCUGGCUCACAGUCUGGAAGGGGCAGCAAGUGUCCCAUAAAUACCUGUGCGCUGAGAGAUGUAAUCAGUGCCCAAAUUUCCAUCUGUCUGGGGCUCUGCUUGCCACAAACACGAAAAUAGGGCCACCAAACCCAGACAUCUGAGAUGUUAUCAUCAAGGGUUCUCACUGGGGCCAGGGAUAUGGUUUAGCGGUAGAAAGCUUGCUUAGUAUGUGCAAGGCCUUGGGUUCCAUCCCCAACACCAUAAACUAUCCAGUAUCUCAGCUGGUAAAACACUCGCCUGACAUACAAGAAGUCCCAAGUUCAAUUCCCAGCAAUAUAGAAAUGGGUUGUGGCUGCACGUGUCUGUAAUCUCAGCACUUAGAAGAGGAGAUGAAGAACCAGAAAUUAGAGAACACUCUUCUCCAAGAUUAAAACAUUCCAUCCUGCAGGGAGGUCAACAACAAAAAGCAAUUCAGGAACUCCCUGAAGCUGAGUAGAGUCACUAGGCCCCGCCCCUCCAGAGUAAGCAGAGACUAACCACAAAGACAACCCAGACCAGGGCAGCUGCCUGCAAAGAACAACAACCAGCCGGGCUGUCUGGACGAGGACCAACUGAGGCAUCUGGAAAAGACACUCUCCAACCUGUUGAGCUGCCUUCUGGCUGUGCAGUGAGCUCCAUGUUUACAGCUCUGUGAGCUGUCACCCAUGCUAGGUGGGCUUUGGUGAUGCAGCUGUCUUUGAGUCAUUUGUGCUCCUGUGAGUCACCCCUUACCCAUAUUCCUGUCAAUAACCCAAUAAAACUCAUGGCUCACC
rnacentral:lncRNA from 1 species